GAUGAACGCUCUCUUCCUGCUUAAUACGUGCAAGUCGUGGGGCAGCAGGACUGUAGCAAUACAGUUGCUGGCGACCGGCAAACGGGUGCGGAACACGUACGCAACUUACCCUGAACUGGGGGAUAGCCCGGGGAAACCCGGAUUAAUACCCCGUAAUAUAAUGGAGUGGCAUCACUUUAUUAUUAAAGCUCCGGCGGUUCGGGAUGGGCGUGCGGCUGAUUAGGUAGUUGGUUGAGGUAACGGCUCACCAAGCCUACGAUCAGUAACUGGUGUGAGAGCACGACCAGUCACACGGGCACUGAGACACGGGCCCGACUCCUACGGGAGGCAGCAGUAAGGAAUAUUGGGCAAUGGAGGCAACUCUGACCCAGCCAUGCCGCGUGGAGGAUGAAGGCCCUCUGGGUUGUAAACUUCUUUUAUAGGGGACUAAACCUGUGUAUUCUUACGCAGUUGACGGUACCCUAGGAAUAAGCACCGGCUAACUCCGUG
rnacentral:rRNA from 1 species